AUAGUACUUUUAGCAAGAAAGGCUAUUGUGAAAAAUUGGAAGAAUAUUAUAGCUAUUUCUAAAGUUACCCCCAGCUAAAAGGGGUGAAGACAGGCUUGAGUCAUUGAAAAGGGCUAAAUAUGUUGCCGGCCCAUAUGGAUAUAAAAGUUAUAACCAUUAUUUUUAUUCCCAAUCAUUUCAGCUCAAAUAUAUUCCCUAAUUAUUUCUGCCCAAAUUUAAAUCCCCACCCUCACGGCAAUUUCCCCAUAUAAUUUACCCUACGUACCCAACACCUAUUACCGCUCAAACGUCUACGAUGGCUAUAGUGAGGUGUCUAACAAUUACAAUAAAAAGGGGUCCAAUAAGUUACAAUUUUAUUCUGGAUUUUCAUGUUCAGAAAUUGGAAAGUCCGCAAAAGGGUGUGUCUGGUUAUGGGAUUUGUAUGGAUAACAUUCUAAGCGUAGGUGUUCAGCGCCAAAACUUUUUGAAUGCAUUUGGGCUGAAACAUCCCAUUUUGACAUUUGCCUUGAUAAGUAUUCUUACCAAAGAACCGAUUCACUUGUAUGGAAUUCCAAAUUUUGAAGUUGAACGACACCUCCACCUUGAGGACAAGGUGGAUUUUGGGGCGGCGGGUAAUGAUAGACCCUCAAUCCAGUUCACCUAUUCUAGAAGGAUGAAGGAGCUUGCCAAAUCAGCUGAAGUUAGUUAGUUAGGGGUAAAAGUGUCAUAGCAUUGUGGUAGGAAGUGUAAAUAAAUAUGGGGUUUCGGGAAGGAAAAAGGCAUUCACGUUUUGGUUGAGUCAAGGGGGAGAGACCAGGCCUCUCGAUUAGCCUGGGAUUUGUUAUUUUCUGUUGUUCAUCAAUAAAUCGUUGCAUUAAGAUCUUAUUGCUGUGAGUUUGUUAUUUCCUUCAAUUGGGUCCAGGAGUCUUAUCAUUUCGGUAUUGCAGGUUGAGGUUCUAUCAAUUUCAUUUUGCAUGAUUAAGCAAUGCCUAUUAUAGCCUACAUCUAAGUUUUAAUCUUUCGUUGUUUUCAACAUGCAGCGUCAAUGAGAAACUGUAUAACAUGGGAAACUAUUAAUGUUGAACCAUUUUUGAAUGUCGAUGCGAAGUUAGAUCUCGUCCUUGAGGUUGUUACCCUCCUGUUGUUGAGUAUUUUCCUGUGAAUCCUAUGGUACUUUCUUCUUUUGAAAGGUUGUUUUCAUCCCUAGGUGGACUGAUUUUAAUUGUCAUUUCCCCAAUUUUAGCCUCUGCCAGUGUUAGUUGUAGGCCGAGAGAGGGUCCCCUUCGUAGCAGCCUUUCCUAUGGGCUGACUAAAACAUUUCACAAAUUUUAUUAUCGGCACUAAAAUAUUUCUCAAAAGCUUUUCAACUUCAGAUUGAAUAGAUUCCUUCAUUCCAUUUGUCUAGAACUUAGAAACAUUUUUAAUAUUGCUGAUCAUCUGGCUCAUAGGUUGUCUGUGAUUAGUAAUUAUUUCAAAUGUUAAAGGUUGGCAAUUGAUAUUUUCUCUGGUUAAUUGAGCCUUUUUAGCUAUAUGGAUUAUAUGAUUUUUAAUAUUGUAAUAUUAAAUAGUUCAUGGCCUGUUUUAUUUUUUCAAAAAUAUAUCAUUGAAUUGAGCUUUGUGAUUGCACACUCUUAUGCAUGUUUUGACUCCUAUAACCAAUGUAUCUAUAAUGUUGUCCUUGAUAGUAAAAGGAAGAGAGAAUCCAAGGAACUGAUUUAUCUUACAUUUUUUUUUUUAAAAAAUUUACAAGUUACAUUUUGGUGAAUUUUUGUGUCAUUUUGGCGGCAACUUAUAACUAUGGGCCAUUGACAAACUUCAGUCGACUUUCAUAAACAAACAUUUUUUUUCUUUUGAUGUUAAAGGGCAAAUUUGGGAUCUUUUUACUAUUGUAAUCCUGCAACUCAAGAGGUGGGGUUUCUCUACUCAACCAUUCUUCAUAGAGCAUGUUUACUUAAGCUUAAAGAAAAUAAAAAGUUUUUCUAAACAUGUCUGGACAAGCUAGUUUUUCUUGCUUUUAAGUAAAAGAAAUUUAUUGUGGAAGUAACUCUUACUGUCAAAAUAAGUAACUCAUUUAUUUGUAGAUAAUAUUUUAAUCUUAGUCAAGCUUGCUACCUCAUAGCAAACCCUUCAUUUUUGUUCAAUCAGAUUCAGAUAUAGCCACUAAGUAUAUGUAACCAAGAUUUACCUUGCCACUCACCGUAGGAAUUGUGCCUGUUCAUUCUCAUUGAAGGGCUUCAUCCCAUUGAUUUACACCAAGCCGUUCACCUUUCUGCCAAUAUCAUCUGCCGAGGCUCCAGGGAAUAUAAUGAUGCAGGCUCUAGUGGACAGGUUGGUACCGCUACUCGUAAAACAGCUGCUGCAAGAUUAUUAAGAAUGGGUGCGUAAACAACAGGGUUCGUUUUCAAUGGAACUUCAAAGAAGCCGUGCUUCUACAUGAAAACCACAUUUACUUCCUCGGGUUAGAGUUAACAAUGUACUUUCUUAAGGGUGAGGAGCAGAAGUCCUGGAUUGUCAUUGUCUGAUGUGUGUAAUAGAUUAAAUCAUAUCUUUGAGCACUCUUUCAUGAAAUAAUCUUGUAUUAGUACUGAGUAACAUAUAGCUCUCAUUUGUUCGAAAAUCUCCCUCUUGAUCUGCAAAAUGAAACAAAUUUAUAUAGUCUGGAAUGCUUAUUGGCCUUGAAAUUGUAAUACAUUGCUGUGAUGUACAAAUCAAAUUGUUGUUUUUGAUUUAAGAAUGUUUAUGAAAAACAGGAAAUAACCUAGUGAAUAAAUCUCGUGUUUACAGCCCAUAUUAUUUA